rnacentral:rRNA from 1 species
UACGUAGGGUGCGAGCGUUAAUCGGAAUUACUGGGCGUAAAGCGUGCGCAGGCGGGUUUGUACGCCAGAUGUGAAAGCCCCGGGCUUAACCUGGGAAUGGCAUUUGGGACUGCAAGGCUUGAGUGCGGCAGAGGAGACUGGAAUUCCUGGUGUAGCAGUGAAAUGCGUAGAUAUCAGGAGGAAUACCGAUGGCGAAGGCAGGUCUCUGGGCUGACACUGACGCUCAUGCACGAAAGCGUGGGGAGCAAACAGG